ensembl:lncRNA
ACAGCAUCCUGCUCCGCACGCCCCGUCGAACCCCAGGGCCUGCGUACUGAGCAUGCGCAGUUUGUUUGCCUGAGCCAGGAACCUAGUCAACUCGAGAAUCCCACGCUGGGCAUUUGGGGGAAGCAAGAUGUUAGCGGGGCCAGGGCAAUCUGCUGGCUUUAACGUGAGGCGGAGAGUGACAAGAAGAAACGGACAAGGUCCAAAAGGAGGUCUUGGCGAGGGAUUUUGUUUGACACCACCCAGUGUCUCAGUACUCCUGAGAGCUUUGCUUUUUAUCUUGCAUAAACAUAACAAGAAGUUUUGAGGGGACGAACAUUAACACAACGAACUGAAGCUUUGUUUUAAGCGUCAGAACACUAAGGAAGAGGUUACAGAGCCCCUUCUGCCCACAGCCCGAGGCGGCGAAGGCGAGACCGGCCCACGCCUCAGCCCACCCCAGCCCCGCCCUGCUCCAGCUCCGGACUGGUGUCGAGCUCUUCCCACGCCCUCUCAGCUACGGGCACUUGGAAAACCGGGAGAACGGAGCUCCAAGCUGCAAGAGAAAGCCCAGGGCCACCUCAUAGCAACAGCUAGCCCGGGCACCUAGUAGGAAGCUGGGAUUCAUUCCAACCAACCAGAUCACGUUUCUGUACCCCGUGGUACCACUCUCGGCCAAUAGAGAGCCACUUCAUGCCACGUGACACCCACCCGUCAGCCAAUGGAGGAAACUCUAGACGCAGGAUCACCAACUCACCUCCCUUUGCCUGGCCAGGCUGGGGGUUUGCUUCUGCGCACGCUCCGCCAACCAAUCGUAGGUCAUGGAAGCAAUGUAGAGGGUACAACACUGUCAAAUGAAGAAAAUUACGAGAAAACCCUGGUAAUGAGAAGAUUUGAGGGAACUGUUUGGUGGAGUUGGCUGGCUCUCCAGGGCUUGGUGACAGCACUGGGCAGUCUGAGUCAGGCUGAGCUCUGACAGGGACUGAUGAGACCUGGAUCAGCAGGAAUGUGCACAGACUCACAAUAUUCUUUUCUUUUUUCUUUUUUCCUUCCUGGUGUUUAAAAAGUGUCAGGUUACAUUGUGAGUAAAUCCAUAUUGGAAGGUUAUUAAAGUGAGUGAGCACUGCUCUGCCAACCACAUAAAUUCACAGGCUUCCCGGAGGAAAAGCUAGCUGAGGAUUGUUUCAGGAUGCUGGGACCAAGAGUCCGGCCUCCCUGUGUUCUGCCGCCUCUAACAGAAUGAGAGAAGGGAGUAAGGUACUUACACCAAAGUGAGAUUUUCACGUACUUCACUGCCCCCCUCGCCUCGCCCUUAGCACUCCCUUGAGAAAAAGGCAAGUGAGGAGACAACCCAGGUGUCCUUCAACAGAUGACAGAUGGGGUCUAGCUAUACAAUGGAAUAUUAUUCAGCCAUGAAAGGGAUUGGAAUUCUGACACAUGCUACAAUGUGGAGGAACCUUGAAAACACUGUGGUCAGUGAAAUAAGCCAGGCACAAAAGGACGGAAGUGUUGCCAUUCUACUUAUAUGAAAUAUUUAGAAUUGGGAAAUUCAUAGACAUAGAAAGUAGACCAGAGGUUACCAGGGGUGGUAGGAGGGGUUGGGGAAUGAUUGUUUAAUAGAUACAGAGAUUCUGUUUGGGGUAUGAAAACAUUUUGAAGAUGGUUAUUGACAAUGAUUGUAUGACAUUGUAUCAUUAAUGCCCCUGAAUUGUCAUGUAGAAGUGAUUAACUUGACAAGUGUUAGGCUAUAUAUAUUUUAGCGCACGCACGCGCACGUACACACACACACACACACACACACACACACAGGCAAGUUAAGGGGACUAUGAACUCUGGAAAGAUGGAGUGAAAUACUUUUUCUAUUUCUCCCACCAAGUACAGCAAAAACUCUGCAUAUGACAUAUCAAACUUAAGAAGGCUCUGGAAGAUGGAGAGAAGGCAAACCUUCCAGGGGCCUUGAGAUGCAAGGAAUGACCCAGCUGUGAAUUCCUUGGGUUUUCUUUCUGCCUCAUGUGCCCCACACUGGCUUCUGGAGAAGUCAGCAGCCUGGAAACACCAACAGUCACAGACAAAAAAAUUUUUAAAAGCCUUAAGAAAAGUUGGCUUGGCAUUGAUGGUGCUGGUGCCAGAUCUGAUGGGGGAGGGUCCAGGCUGGAGCUGACAGCAGGGCUGCUCAGUCUCUAGGCCUUGAGAACAGCCCCUGGGAUUGGUGUGGCCACAGAACCUGCUGAAAGAGUCUCAGAGACAUCCACCGACUUCCCCAAUCCCCCUCUUACUCAAUGCUGAGCCUUUGCUUUCAGCUAAAUUUUCACUCUUUUCCAAUCUUUCCAGAAAUUUCCCAAAGACUGGUUUGAUACCAUAUGUAGUUGGGACUUCUUGGUUAUUGUAGCUCAGUACAAUGCCUGUAGAGACCUAGCGAUCUCAGGUCAGUAUAUCCAAAGUACAUAUGGUUACUGGCAAGAAUUUAUACCUAGAACCAUCAAUAUCAUGGCACAUUUAAACCAGAACCCAGGAAUUCCAAAAUUCAAUCCAUCAUCUCUGGUAAAGAUUAGUUAACUUUUAACCCUAUGAGAAGAACAAAGUUUACAAAGUUUAGCAACUAAAAGGAAACUUUAUGCUCUUCCAUAAAGAAAAAGGAUAGAGGGGGUGCCUGGGUGGCUCAGUGGAUUAAGCAUCUGCCUUUGGCUCAGGUCAUGAUCCCAGGGUCCUGGGAUUGAGCCCUGCAUCGGGCUCCUUGCUUAGCAGGAAGCCUGCUUCUCCCUCUCUCUCUCUCUCUACCUGCCACUCUCCCUGCUUAUGUUCUCUCUCUGUCAAAUAAAUAAAUAAAUAAAAUCUU